rnacentral:rRNA from 1 species
GAUGAACGCUGGCGGCGUGCCUAAUACAUGCAAGUCGAGCGAACGGACGAGAAGCUUGCUUCUCUGAUGUUAGCGGUGGACGGGUGAGUGACACGUGGAUAACCUACCUAUAAGACUGGGAUAACUUCGGGAAACCGGAGCUAAUACCGGAUAAUAUUUUGAACCGCAUGGUUCAAAAGUGAAAGACGGUCUUGCUGUCACUUAUAGAUGGAUCCGCGCUGCAUUAGCUAGUUGGUAAGGUAACGGCUUACCAAGGCAACGAUGCAUAGCCGACCUGAGAGGGUGAUCGGCCACACUGGAACUGAGACACGGUCCAGACUCCUACGGGAGGCAGCAGUAGGGAAUCUUCCGCAAUGGGCGAAAGCCUGACGGAGCAACGCCGCGUGAGUGAUGAAGGUCUUCGGAUCGUAAAACUCUGUUAUUAGGGAAGAACAUAUGUGUAAGUAACUGUGCACAUCUUGACGGUACCUAAUCAGAAAGCCACGGCUAACUACGUG